AGUAAAUCAAACAAGACGCAAAGAGAACCAGAGGCAAUAAAAAACGUCAGGCUGCUUGAUAUCAGAUCUCGGAGGAGAAAUUUGAUGGGCACCAAUGAGCAGAAGGCAUCUCAGGAGAAUUGGACAGAGGAGAGAUUUAAUGUGAUCAUAGGGGACGCUCAUCUUUCAGGGAACGGGGUAAUAAUGAGCAAUCAAUAACGUCCUUAACAGAGUUAGAGCGAGUGGCUGACAGCAGAUGUAAGGCUCUGGCUAACAGGCUACGUGUGAUCUCACAUUACCACACUGGAUCUGGGUUUAACAUGCACACACAUGCACACACGCACACGCAUGUACACACACAGGCAGGCAUAGUGCGUGUACGUGCAUGCAUGAACACUAGCAUAUGGACACAUACGCUCCCUUUCUUUUCUGUGUGCCUGUUUUCUCACACACACACAGACACACACACACACACUCUCUCUCUCCUCAGGUGACAUCCACCAGCAUCGUGUCAUUGUCUAUCGAUCAAUAGCUGUAAUCACAUUCACAGGCGAUGAACAUGGUAGUAGGUUGUGUACUGUGAACACAGGCUUCUCAGUUUAUCCUGCGACUACUGAUUUCACGGGCUAAAAUGACAAGCGCACUGGCAGACGCUAUCAUCUGUACAUGCAAGACUUGUUUUCCAGACUGUGCUGUGAGCAGGAGGACAGAGAUCCAGAAUUAGGCCUCUGAGGAGGAAGAGGAGGAGGAGCCGUCAGAUUACAGAUUAGAAGGCUAUCAUGUUGCAGCCCGGAGACAGAUCAAUACCAUUUGCUCAACACACAGGAGGCCUGGGAAUCUAUAAAAGGGCUUUUAUUGAGUAAUUAAACACCCAUUACUGUCCCGUGCAGCCAAACAAUAAAUUUGAUCAGCCUCUCAGGCGCAGAUCCAGUCGUGAUUAAUACUCAGUGCAUGCAUGACAUAAAAGACCACAAUGACAUUUUGCUAAGUCGUGUCUUAGACCCUUUCGACGGUGCGGGGACAAGAGUUCGGCUGCUUACAGCGGCAGUUUCAAGGUUGUUUAGUGCGGCCGGUAUCUUCGGAGAGCUCCGUGUGCACAGAGGGGGAUUUUGCGGGGCUCAGCAGCAACAUACCGUCCGCUCCUGCUGGCCUGGGAUCGAAUCCCACUAGUACCUGCUGUCCUGAGGCAGCCACACCAAGUGG